CUUGGGAGAAGUCAGCCACUACGUUGUGAGGACAUGGGGACAGAGGUGGUGAGGCCUACGUGGUGAAGGUCUGAGGCCUCCUGCCAACAGCUGAUGACUGAGCUGCUGCGGAAGCUGACCCUCCACACUCCCUAGGCUCGGUGGCCAGCCCCUUUGCUGGGGUCAGAGCCACAUUCCCAUCUUGCUCCAGGAUGGAUCGCCGGUUCCUUGAAUCCAACACAUGCAACACUGAGCAUGUCACAUCCUCCAGGCCUGCUCCUUCUCAUCUACUCUGGCUCAAACCUGAGGACCCGUCAGACCCUCUCUCCCACUCGUGCCACAUCCAGACAGCACCGGGCCCUGCUGACAUUCUGCUCUCUGUGUCCCUUACAUUUGUCACCUGAUUUCGACUCUCACUGCAACCGGCACUCAUCUGUACCUGGGAAGGGCCACCUCGCCUCUGCCGGUAACCCAACAAGGCCCCAGCUGGCGUCCCAGCUUCCAGAAACCAUCUACCACAGGAAGGAAAAGCUGAUCCCCACAUAGAACAGGUGCUCCGAU
rnacentral:lncRNA from 10 species